CGCAUAAUAAUUCCUUCAAGAUUUUAUUGAAUAAUAAACAUAAAGCUUCAUAAUAAUUCCAGCAUAACUAGAUUAGAACAUAGUGAUUGGCAAUAAAUCACAAGUAAACAUGUAUUUAGUAGCAUGAACACAAAAAGAAAUUAAAAAAGGAAAAAAGAACUCUAGGUGGUUCACGGUGGUUUCUUUCUUGGUGCACACUGUUCUUCCUCUUCCAUAUUCUUAAAAUGCCACAAAAUAAGCUUGAAUAAACUUAUAACUGGAUUACUCACACUUGAAGAAACUCUUCUUCUCUUGAGAAGAAAUAAAGGAAAUUCUCAGAAAAAGGAGAUUGCAUGAGAGGUAGAUGAAUGAAUGAGA
rnacentral:lncRNA from 1 species